rnacentral:lncRNA from 1 species
CUAGAAAAGUGCGCUCAGGACCUGGGAAGCACCUCUAAGGGAGUGGGCUCCUCCAUGGCGCAGCUCCUCACCUGCGCUGCUCAAGGCAAUGAGCACUACACAGGCUUUUCUUCCCAGGCGUGGCAGCUAGAGAAACAGCUCAAGCUCUGAAAACACUGGCCCAGGCUGCCCGGGGAGUGGCUGCGUCUACAAAUGACCCUGAGGCCGCUCAUGCCAUGUUAGACUCUGCUCGGGAUGUGAUGGAGGGCUCUGCCAUGCUCAUCCAAGAAGCCAAGCAGGCCUUAAUCGCACCUGGAGAUACGGAAAGUCAGCAGAGAUUAGCCCAGGUGGCCAAAGCUGUGUCCCACUCACUGAAUAACUGCGUGAAUUGCCUCCCUGGUCAGAAGGAUGUGGAUGUCGCCUUGAAGAGCAUCGGGGAGUCCAGCAAGAAGCUACUUGUAGAUUCGCUCCCUCCGAGCACAAAGCCUUUCCAGGAAGCCCAGAGUGAGCUGAACCAGGCUGCUGCUGAUCUGAACCAGUCUGCCGGGGAAGUCGUCCAUGCCACAAGGGGGCAGAGUGGAGAGCUGGCGGCCG